UAGGGAAUCUUCGGCAAUGGGGGGAACCCUGACCGAGCAACGCCGCGUGAGUGAAGAAGGUUUUCGGAUCGUAAAGCUCUGUUGUUAAGGAAGAACGAGUGUGAGAAUGGAAAGUUCAUACUGUGACGGUACUUAACCAGAAAGGGACGGCUAACUACGUGCCAGCAGCCGCGGUAAUACGUAGGUCCCGAGCGUUGUCCGGAUUUAUUGGGCGUAAAGCGAGCGCAGGCGGUUAGAUAAGUCUGAAGUUAAAUGCAGUGGCUCAACCAUUGUAGGCUUUGGAAACUGUUUAACUUGAGUGCAGAAGGGGAGAGUGGAAUUCCAUGUGUAGCGGUGAAAUGCGUAGAUAUAUGGAAGAACACCGGUGGCGAAAGCGGCUCUCUGGUCUGUAACUGACGCUGAGGCUCGAAAGCGUGGGGAGCGAACAGG
rnacentral:rRNA from 1 species